rnacentral:rRNA from 1 species
UACGGAGGGUCCAAGCGUUAUCCGGAUUCAUUGGGUUUAAAGGGUGCGUAGGCGGCCUGUUAAGUCAGUGGUGAAAUUUUGUGGCUCAACCAUAAAACUGCCAUUGAAACUGAUAGGCUUGAAUACUGUCGAGGUAGGCGGAAUAGGUAGUGUAGCGGUGAAAUGCUUAGAUAUUACCUAGAACACCGAUAGCGAAGGCAGCUUACCAGAGAGUCAUUGACGCUGAUGCACGAAAGCGUGGGUAGCGAACGGG